CUGUGAGGUAUGCUGGAGGUAUCAGAAGUGCGAAUGCUGACAUAAGUAACGAUAAUGCGGGUGAAAAACCCGCACGCCGGAAGACCAAGGGUUCCUGUCCAACGUUAAUCGGGGCAGGGUGAGUCGACCCCUAAGGCGAGGCUGAAAAGCGUAGUCGAUGGGAAACGGGUUAAUAUUCCCGUACUGGUGGUAACUGCGAUGGGGGAACGGAGAAGGCUAGGUUGUCCGGGCGACGGUCGUCCCGGUUCAAGCAGGUAGGCAGAGUGAUUAGGCAAAUCCGGUCACUUAAUGCUGAGAUGUGAUGACGAACCACCAAGGUGGUGAAGCAAUUGAUGCCCCGCUUCCAGGAAAAGCCUCUAAGCUUCAGGUUACCAACAAUCGUACCCCAAACCGACACAGGUGGUCAGGUAGAGAAUACUCAGGCGCUUGAGAGAACUCGGGUGAAGGAACUAGGCAAAAUGGUGCCGUAACUUCGGGAGAAGGCACGCUGGCGGUAGGUAAAGUCCCUCGCGGACGGCGCUGAAGCCAGUCGAAGAUACCAGCUGGCUGCAACUGUUUAUUAAAAACACAGCACUGUGCAAACACGAAAGUGGACGUAUACGGUGUGACGCCUGCCCGGUGCUGGAAGGUUAAUUGAUGGGGUUAGCCGCAAGGCGAAGCUCCUGAUCGAAGCCCCAGUAAACGGCGGCCGUAACUAUAACGGUCCUAAGGUAGCGAAAUUCCUUGUCGGGUAAGUUCCGACCUGCACGAAUGGCGUAAUGAUGGCCAGGCUGUCUCCACCCGAGACUCAGUGAAAUUGAACUCGCUGUGAAGAUGCAGUGUACCCGCGGCAAGACGGAAAGACCCCGUGAACCUUUACUAUAGCUUGACACUGAACAUUGAGCCUUGAUGUGUAGGAUAGGUGGGAGGCUUUGAAGUGUGGACGCCAGUCUGCAUGGAGCCAACCUUGAAAUACCACCCUUUAACGUUUGAUGUUCUAACCUAGGCCCAUAAACUGGGUCGGGGACCGUGUCUGGUGGGUAGUUUGACUGGGGCGGUCUCCUCCUAAAGAGUAACGGAGGAGCACGAAGGUUGGCUAAGCAUGGUCGGACAUCAUGCGGUUAGUGCAAAGGCAUAAGCCAGCUUGACUGCGAGAGUGACGGCUCGAGCAGGUACGAAAGUAGGUCUUAGUGAUCCGGUGGUUCUGAAUGGAAGGGCCAUCGCUCAACGGAUAAAAGGUACUCCGGGGAUAACAGGCUGAUACCGCCCAAGAGUUCAUAUCGACGGCGGUGUUUGGCACCUCGAUGUCGGCUCAUCACAUCCUGGGGCUGAAGUAGGUCCCAAGGGUAUGGCUGUUCGCCAUUUAAAGUGGUACGCGAGCUGGGUUUAGAACGUCGUGAGACAGUUCGGUCCCUAUCUGCCGUGGGCGUUGGAAGAUUGAGAGGGGUUGCUCCUAGUACGAGAGGACCGGAGUGAACGCACCACUGGUGUUCGGGUUGUCAUGCCAAUGGCAUUGCCCGGUAGCUAAGUGCGGAAGAGAUAACCGCUGAAAGCAUCUAAGCGGGAAACUUGCCUCGAGAUGAGUCUUCCCUGUCGCUUUAAGCGACCUAAAGGAACGUUUAAGACUAAGACGUUGAUAGGCUGGGUGUGUAAGCGUAGCGAUACGUUGAGCUAACCAGUACUAAUGAACCGUGAGGCUUAACCUG
rnacentral:rRNA from 1 species